UAGUCUUGUACCGGAAAAAAAAUGACUGGCCACUAAAGCAACUAAUUCAAAAGAAAUUUUACUAUUUUAUCUUCCCUCACUUUUUUUAACACCACUUGGAUAUUCCCUCCAAUUUCUCAAAAUAACAAAAUAAAAUUUGGAAAAUUUGGGAAUACUGCACAAAGACUCGACCUAUCUCGCCGCUGCUAAAACCAUCACUGCCACUGCAACUCAUUUCUAUCUCACCACCGGCCACCAAUUUCAGUUCUCCGAUUCGAAAUGAUAGUGUAUGUAUGGUUGGAGUAGUUCCCCUUCAUCAUUUUUUGAGAAAAUCAAAUGGUCGCUCCACCUGCUUUAGCCUAUCACGAUUAGAGAUUACCUCAUCAAGCUCCUUUUGAUUGGCAAUAGCAACGUUUUCUCUCGUUAGCAAGCCCAAUUAUAAAAAUGUAUCAAAAUAGGUAGGCUUCCUUCUUAACUUCAGGUUUCUUUAUAGUACUUUUACUUGUUUUUUAUAGUACAUUGGAGAAAUGUCUCCAAAUGGUGAUAUUUUAUAAUUCCUCUGAAGGAAUACCUUAUUUCUUGAUUUUGUUAUUGUUCUUGAGCGGAUUCCGAAAUUGAGACAUGAUGUUCCUGGAGUACCAAUUAUACUUGUUCGAACGAAGCUAGGUCAUGUGAUGUUCAAAGACAUGGCAUGUGGAAGUUAUUGUGAUCAGGAGUUGGGAGAAUCUGUUCGAUGUAACUUAUUAUCGAGCUUAUAGCUACUUAAUAAAAUAAUUAAUUAGACGCGAAAUGUUAUUGGAUUCAAAUAAUUUAGCAUUCUUUAUGUUGUUUACACUCUCAAAUUAUGGAUUUAAUGAAAUGCAUUAAGUUGAUUACAGUGAA